AACGAAGACGAAACUCUU
rnacentral:sRNA from 1 species